GUAAUACUCCCUCCGUCCGAAAAUACUUGUCGCACAAAUAAAUAAAAUUGAAUGUAUCUAGAACUAAAAUACAUCUAGAUAUAUCCAUUUCCCCGACAAGUAUUUUCGGACGGAGGGAGUACUUG
rnacentral:pre_miRNA from 1 species